rnacentral:rRNA from 1 species
AUUGAACGCUGGCGGCAUGCCUUACACAUGCAAGUCGAACGGCAGCGCGGGAGCAAUCCUGGCGGCGAGUGGCGAACGGGUGAGUAAUAUAUCGGAACGUGCCCAGUAGUGGGGAUACCGGCGAAAGCCGGAUUAAUACCGCAUGAGACCCUGAGGGUGAAGGCGGGGGAUCGCAAGACCUCGCGCUAUUGGAGCGGCCGAUAUCAGAUUAGCUAGUUGGUGGGGUAAAGGGCCUACCAAGGCAACGAGUCUGUAGUUGGUCUGAGAGGACGACCAGCCACACUGGGACUGAGACACGGCCCAGACUCCUACGGGAGGCAGCAGUGGGGAAUUUUGGACAAUGGGCGCAAGCCUGAUCCAGCAAUGCGCGUGCAGGAGAA